UACAGAGGUCUCAAGCGUUGUUCGGAUUCAUUGGGCGUAAAGGGUGCGUAGGCGGCGCGGUAAGUCGGGUGUGAAAUCUCGGAGCUUAACUCCGAAACUGCAUUCGAUACUGCCGUGCUUGAGGACUGGAGAGGAGACUGGAAUUUACGGUGUAGCGGUGAAAUGCGUAGAUAUCGUAAGGAAGACCAGUGGCGAAGGCGGGUCUCUGGACAGUUCCUGACGCUGAGAUACGAAAGCCAAGGUAGCAAACAGG
rnacentral:rRNA from 1 species